UGGAAGGGGGGGGGCUAUACAUGCAGUCGAGCGAACAGACGAGGAGCUUGCUCCUUUGACGUUAGCGGCGGACGGGUGAGUAACACGUGGGUAACCUACCUAUAAGACUGGGAUAACUUCGGGAAACCGGAGCUAAUACCGGAUAAUAUUUCGAACCGCAUGGUUCGAUAGUGAAAGAUGGCUUUGCUAUCACUUAUAGAUGGACCUGCGCCGUAUUAGCUAGUUGGUAAGGUAACGGCUUACCAAGGCAACGAUACGUAGCCGACCUGAGAGGGUGAUCGGCCACACUGGAACUGAGACACGGUCCAGACUCCUACGGGAGGCAGCAGUAGGGAAUCUUCCGCAAUGGGCGAAAGCCUGACGGAGCAACGCCGCGUGAGUGAUGAAGGUCUUCGGAUCGUAAAACUCUGUUAUUAGGGAAGAACAAACGUGUAAGUAACUGUGCACGUCUUGACGGUACCUAAUCAGAAAGCCACGGCUAACUACGUGCCAGCAGCCGCGGUAAUACGUAGGUGGCAAGCGUUAUCCGGAAUUAUUGGGCGUAAAGCGCGCGUAGGCGGUUUUUUAAGUCUGAUGUGAAAGCCCACGGCUCAACCGUGGAGGGUCAUUGGAAACUGGAAAACUUGAGUGCAGAAGAGGAAAGUGGAAUUCCAUGUGUAGCGGUGAAAUGCGCAGAGAUAUGGAGGAACACCAGUGGCGAAGGCGACUUUCUGGUCUGUAACUGACGCUGAUGUGCGAAAGCGUGGGGAUCAAACAGGAUUAGAUACCGUGGUAGUCCACGCCGUAAACGAUGAGUGCUAAGUGUUAGGGGGUUUCCGCCCCUUAGUGCUGCAGCUAACGCAUUAAGCACUCCGCCUGGGGAGUACGACCGCAAGGUUGAAACUCAAAGGAAUUGACGGGGACCCGCACAAGCGGUGGAGCAUGUGGUUUAAUUAGAAGCAACGCGAAGAACCUUACCAAAUCUUGACAUCCUUUGACCCUUCUAGAGAUAGAAGUUUCCCCUUCGGGGGACAAAGUGACAGGUGGUGCAUGGUUGUCGUCAGCUCGUGUCGUGAGAUGUUGGGUUAAGUCCCGCAACGAGCGCAACCCUUAAGCUUAGUUGCCAUCAUUAAGUUGGGCACUCUAAGUUGACUGCCGGUGACAAACCGGAGGAAGGUGGGGAUGACCUCAAAUCAUCAUGCCCCUUAUGAUUUGGGCUACACACGUGCUACAAUGGACAAUACAAAGGGCAGAGAAACCGAGAGGUCAAGCAAAUCCCAUAAAGUUGUUGUCAGUUCGGUAUUGUAGUAUGCAACUCGAGUACAUGAAGCUGGAAUCGGGUAGUAAUCGUAGAUUUAGCAGGAUAUCGGUGCAUUCGUUUCCGGGUGUUGUACACGCCGCCUGUCACAUCACGAGAGUUUGUAACACCGGACAACCUGUGGAGUAAGUCAUCUGGAGCUAGCAUGUAGCUGUCUGAGUGCUGUCUCGACGUUGC
rnacentral:rRNA from 1 species